UCUAAAAUUUAGUCACUCACCAUUAUUGGCAGAGUGUGGAACCUUUGCUGAACUUGCAAAUAGAGGAGAAAGGUGACAUAGACAGUAAUAUAACCAGUCAAGUCAUGGUAAGACCAGACAUGUCUUGAUAAAGGUCAGUUGUGACUGAAACACAUUUACAGAGGAGUGUGAACAGUAGUUUCUCUAAUUCUUUUAAAGGUGUAUUGGGAGUGCUCCACACGUACACACUCAGGAUUCCUUGAAAAAGACCCCAGCCACGGGAUUGAAACGCGUUGGUAUUGGAUACAUUUGCAAUUAUUUGCCAGACUCUCCAGUGUGAAAUGAUCCAGCAUCAGCCUGUGUGAAAUGAUGGCCAAAUCCAAAACACGCAAGAUCCGACACUGGAAAGAUGACGUUUUGCCUCGUUUUGGAAUCUGAGCCUGCCGGGAAAACUGAAGCCACUGCUCAGAUUCACUCGGAAACUGGAAGUUCGGGUGGGGGAAAUCGAGCCCACACAUCCAUAGUAAAGGCCGGGUAACACAAAAAUACAUCAUUAGUGAGUUUAUGGAAGAGUGCAAACAAAUUAAAUAAAAUAAUGCCAUUCAUCGAACCAUUUUCUAAUAUAACUUUCUACAGUCCCAAAAAUCUAUCAUGUUGAUUGUGAAACUUUAAGCUGUAUAAAAAUGUCACAAGCAAAUUUUGUAAAUUACAUUUUAUUU